CAGAAGUUUCUUGGAGAUCCUUGAAUUGUGAAGGGGCACCUUUGUUUCAUGUGCUGAAAUAGUCAUGGUGCUUUCAGAUCUGGGAGCUUCAAAAAAUAUGCUGGAAUAGUAUGGAGCUUAGUCUGGAGCUAACCCGUGCUGAAGUCUGUAACUGCAGGAGAGAAGUGGUAGAGGGAGAUUGUCAUGUUACUGGUGAAGAGAGGCAUUCACACAAGCAAAUAAACACUGAAUGUCUUCAGUGACUGAUUUUAAUCAGAAGUGAUUCAAGCCAAGAAGGAGACACUGUGACAACAUGAAUGGCUGUUCAUGCUUUCCUAGAGUUCAAUAUUUCUAGAAUUUCAAGUGUUUCAAGCAGCUCCAGGUCAAUUACAUAAAAACAGACAUUGCUUGCAAGAUUGUGUAAGGUGCUCCUUAUCAAAACAAGGGAAGAGGACAAAGACUCAUCACUCAAUUGCAACACAAGUCAGCUUUGAAAGGCUUUGCCCUUGUGCUGGAAACCCUGUGUGCUGGCUGCUUUCUUCAAGAACUGUAGAAUGGUUUGGAUUGGAAAGGGUCUUUAAAGAUCAUCUAGUCCAGGAAAACCAAGAUCAUCUAGUCUAGAGAAGUGAUGAUUCCACCUUGCUCUUUGUUUGGUAGAGCUCCUGCUGUUGACAGCAGAUGUGCUGUGAUCAGCUUGGGCAAGUCCUUGACUAGGGAAGUCUGAACUUCUGAACCCAGUGCUGGUGAUUCACCAUCAUUUGGCAGCCAGAACCAUAAUUUGAGUAGAAAUAAAAAAACCCAGUGCUCAGCAAAGGUUGUUUAAACAGUAAUUGGAAUAUCAAAUAAAUACGGUGAAAUAUUUUCUUGCUAAAAUGCUACUUGCAGUAAUUGCAUAUUUUAUCUUUAACAGUUAGUUGUGUUUGUUAUCUGUCUGAUUUUUUAUUCAGACAUAAACUGUAGCAGGUUAUUUAAAACUGCAUUUAUUAUUUUUCCUAUGCAGGUUGCAUAAAUGAGUGUCAAUAGGAGCACUGUGGAAAUGAAUAAAUUUGUAAUUACAAUAGCAUUAAACAUAUUUUGCUAGUGUCUGAAUGGAAAACAUUUCAUAUGAAAAAUUAAUUCCACCCACUUGAAAGAGGAAAUCAAAGUUGUGCUUUAGUCUCUGCUCUUUAAAAAUAGCUGACAGGCAGCUUUUUAUUUUCUUUUUUUUUUUUUUUAAUAUUUUCAUUUUCUGUGGAAAUGAAAGUUAAUGUCAUUUUUUUAAAAUAGAAUUAUUUAAAGAAACAAGAAUAAAGUCUGUGUUUGAAAAAUUUAAUAGCAAACUUCUGGAAAAUUUAGCUUGAACUACAAAGCACUAGUAAAUAAAUGUAGCUGGGGAACAGACCUGAGAAGAAUUUCUGAAACAAACAAGGGCAAAUGAAGUACCCAUAGGUAUUUUGUGCUGUUGGCCAAGCCUAGUCAACAAAUCUGGACCUCAUAUCAUGCAAACAUAGGAUAUUUUACUCCUAUGUUUGUUAGAAACCCACCCCUGUGUAAUUUUUUUCAGAGCUCUUCUAUUCAUUGGUGGCUGACAGCCCUAUCCUCUUCAGAGGAAACAAAAAAUGUUUGAAGAUGGAAUCUAGCUCAAAAAAACAAAAGGAGAUUAAUUAUACCAUUAAAUUAAAUAACUUUACGAAUGAAAAUAUCUUUAGGAUUUAGUUGUCCAAGGUGUGUGAAGAUGGAGUCUGACUCAGCAGAAAUGAAGGAAAACUGAUUUUUUCCCCCUGAGAUUCCCAACUGAAAACAAAGAUCUUUUGAGGGCCAAAUCUCAAAGUUGGUUUUUGAUGUCACUGACAAAAUUGCAGGUAGAGAGUGACACAAGAGGCAUAUCAGAAAUGAGAAGCUACUGUUCAGCUGAGGACACUGAAACUUUAGAGUUCAUGAAUGUCUUUUCAAUGUAAAUGCUAUUUGAAUAAAAUAAAUAAAUAAAAUAAAAUAAA